AGUGAACGCUGGCGGUAGGCCUAACACAUGCAAGUCGAACGGCAGCACAGUAAGAGCUUGCUCUUACGGGUGGCGAGUGGCGGACGGGUGAGGAAUACAUCGGAAUCUACUUUUUCGUGGGGGAUAACGUAGGGAAACCUACGCUAAUACCGCAUACGACCUACGGGUGAAAGCAGGGGAUCUUCUGACCUUGCGCGAUUGAAUGAGCCGAUGUCGGAUUAGCUAGUUGGCGGGGUAAAGGCCCACCAAGGCGACGAUCCGUAGCUGGUCUGAGAGGAUGAUCAGCCACACUGGAACUGAGACACGGUCCAGACUCCUACGGGAGGCAGCAGUGGGGAAUAUUGGACAAUGGGCGCAAGCCUGAUCCAGCCAUACCGCGUGGGUGAAGAAGGCCUUCGGGUUGUAAAGCCCUUUUGUUGGGAAAGAAAAGCAGCAGGUUAAUACCCCGCUGUUCUGACGGUACCCAAAGAAUAAGCACCGGCUAACUUCGUG
rnacentral:rRNA from 1 species